rnacentral:rRNA from 2 species
UACGUAGGGGGCUAGCGUUGUCCGGAAUCAUUGGGCGUAAAGAGCGUGUAGGCGGCCCGGUAAGUCCGCUGUGAAAGUCGGGGGCUCAACCCUCGAAUGCCGGUGGAUACUGUCGGGCUAGAGUGCGGAAGAGGCGAGUGGAAUUCCUGGUGUAGCGGUGAAAUGCGCAGAUAUCAGGAGGAACACCGAUUGCGAAGGCAGCUCGCUGGGACGUAACUGACGCUGAGACGCGAAAGCGUGGGGAGCAAACAGG